CUUAUGUUACACUCAACUAUCAUGCAUGUACAAGGUUUAUCGUUACAUGAUAAAAAGAGUUUACAAGUUUAAGUGAUCAAAGUUUAUGGUAGACGAACUGAAUCCUUAUAACUAGUACUGCAAAUGUGUAAUUAAUGGAAACAAUUUAAGCAACAUAUCAACAAUUUUAUAACAGUGAUCAAUAACUAUUUCAUGUGAAUAAAAGGUACAUUAAAACCCAUUCAGAUAACAGGAAGUUUUGAACACUUUUCAACAAAAUGGCGACUCCUUUAGGUUCAGUUCAUAAAAGCUCUGAUUUGGUGAAGGACUUCUGUUGUGGAGCCUGUAAAAGUAGAAGUAUCGAAGAAAUUGCAGAGAUCUACUGUGAAACAUGCCUGAAGUGUUUUUGUGGAAAAUGCAUCUAUCUUCAUGGCCAAUUAUAUGCUGAUCAUAUCACUUAUGGUACAGAAGACAUGAACAAGUGGCCUGUCACUAAGAAAAUGGAGGAUUUUCUAUUUAAGUGUGAGAACCACAAAGACAAAAAACUUAAAAUGUUUUGUAAGGACCAUAGUCAGCCAUGUUGCACUAAUUGUGCUUUCCUAAAUCACAGACUAUGCAAGGAAGUAUCCCUUAUUUCUGAGUCAGUAAAAACAAAUCCGUCAGACUUGCAUGAAUUGUCUAACAAGAUUGAGACCAUUCUGAAAGAACUGAAGAAUCUUCAAAAUACAAGACAGAGCAGCUUUCAGUCUGUUGAGGGCUCAUACAGUAAGAGACUACAAGAAGUCAGAGAUGUGCGACAGAAACUAAAUUCUGCUCUGGACGAACUUGAAAAGGCUACACUGAAAGAACUGGAUGAUCUGAGGACAUCACUACAAGCUGCUCUCAAGACUGAUGUAGACAACUGCAAUAAACUGAUGGAUGACCUAGAGCUCCUUAGUGAAGCUGUGAAGGAACUUGCAGAUAAGAGCAUUGGAGAAAUGGCCUUCAUAGCCAGCAGGAAAUGUCUGGACAAGAUACAGGAGUCACAAGUAUAUCUAAAAAAACUUCUUUGAAGUUUGACAGUUCAAUAGCAUUCCAAGUAAACACAGACAUUGAACAGUAUUUGACCAAACAGUUUGGUAUUGGCAAGAUUUUACAUAGAGCAGUGCAGGGAGACGCCAAUAAUCCAUUUACAGUAACAAAGAAGUGCCAGUAUGAUCUGAAAAUACCAACUGAUGGUACAACCAGUUAUUACACAGGCAUCUGUGUUACCACAAGUGAUUAUAUCCUUGUUGCUGACCACCGCAAUAAUCGAGUGAAGCUUCUGAACCAGCAGUACAAAGUGAUCAGCCACUGUGAUGUGCCUGUUAGUGAAGGGGAAAUGUGUCAGAUAAGUGCAAGUGAGGUGGCUGUCACUGUGAGUGAUGGGGUCCAAUUCAUCUCUGUGGCUAAUAUACAGCUUGUAAAAGGCACGAAACUUCAGUUUCAACAUCAUUGUACUGGCAUUGCCCAUCAUGAAGGCAACCUGUAUGUCACCUCCGGUACUGCUCUGUACCAGUACACUAAGACUGGAGCACUAGUACAAAAGAUAUAUGAGGAUACAACUGCUAGUAGCACAGUUGUAGGUCAUGUCCUGGUUUGUGGAUACUCAUCCCGCACCAUCAUACAGGUGGAUAGGGAGGGAAAAACAAAGCUAGCUACACUAUGGGCGAAGAAGGAUGUUGUGAUUUAUCCUGUAUCAGUUUGCUACAACAGCGACACCCACACAGUCAUUCUAGCAGAACUAACCCCACCAGCCAUAUAUAGGAACAACAGGUCCUGAAUAGCACAUAUUCAGACGUCAUCUUCUACUACUGACUUCCUAUAAACAAGGCUUAAGCUAUAUGAAUAUUGAUUGUAUUCAGUGAAUAAAGUAUAGUGUAACUUGCUUGUUACGAGUACAAGUAAUUAGAAAUACCCCGCGUGACAGGAGGUUACAAAUUGGCGCCCAACGUGGGGCCCCUCGAAUGAGGGCUCUGACAUACCGGAUAGGGUGAGAACCCCGGAGAGUAGCAGCGAUGAAGAUAGGUUACGUAACACCAGGAUGGACAGGAAGACCGACUCGAGUUGUGUUUAAUUUGGUACCAUUUUUUUUCUUGUGAUCACACACUUUGUCGUUAUAACAGUGCCGGCACCUGAGGCUGAAACAGGAUCAAGGAAGGACACACGAAGGACAUACAAGGACUCAUGAACUCAAUAGACUGACUUGUGCUGUGUGGUUCCUCUAAGUGUUGAUAUAGGUGCUAGCAGAACUAACCCCACCAGCCAUAUAUAGGAACAACAGGUCCUGAAUAGCACAUAUUCAGACGUCAUCUUCUACUACUGACUUCCUAUAAACAAGGCUUAAGCUAUAUGAAUAUUGAUUGUAUUCAGUGAAUAAAGUAUAGUGUAACUUG